rnacentral:rRNA from 1 species
AGUGAACGCUGGCGGCAGGCCUAACACAUGCAAGUCGAGCGGCAGCGCGGGGGCAACCCUGGCGGCGAGCGGCGGACGGGUGAGGAAUUCGUCGGAAUCUGCCUUUUUGUGGGGGAUAACGUAGGGAAACUUACGCUAAUACCGCAUACGUCCUACGGGAGAAAGUGGGGGACCGCAAGGCCUCACGCAGAAAGAUGAGCCGACGACCGAUUAGCUAGUUGGUGGGGUAAAGGCCCACCAAGGCGACGAUCGGUAGCUGGUCUGAGAGGAUGAUCAGCCACACUGGAACUGAGACACGGCCCAGACUCCUACGGGAGGCAGCAGUGGGGAAUAUUGGACAAUGGGCGCAAGCAUGAUCCAGCCAUGCCGCGUGUGUGAAGAAGGCCUUCGGGUUGUAAAGCACUUUUGUCCGGAAAGAAAUCCCUGGAGCUAAUACCUUCGGGGGAUGACGGUACCGGAAGAAUAAGCACCGGCUAACUUCGUG